rnacentral:rRNA from 1 species
UACAGAGGUCUCAACCGUUGUUCGGAUUCAUUGGGCGUAAAGCGCAACGUAGGCGGCUUGACUAAGUCGGAUGUGAAAUCCCUCGGCUCAACCCGAAGGAAGUGCAGUCCGAAACUGACGAGCUUGAGUAACUUAAGAGGAUCGCGGGAAUUCCCGGUCGUAGGAGGUGAAAUUCGAUAGAUAUCGGGAGGAACACCAGUGGCGAAGCGGCGAUCGUGGGAAGAUACGUGACGCUGAGGUGCGAAAGCGUGGGGAGCGAACAGG